UACGUAGGGUCCGAGCGUUGUCCGGAAUUACUGGGCGUAAAGAGCUCGUAGGUGGUUUGUCGCGUUGUCCGUGAAAACUCACAGCUCAACUGUGGGCGUGCGGGCGGAUACGGGCAGACUGGAGUACUGCAGGGGAGACUGGAAUUCCUGGUGUAGCGGUGAAAUGACGCAGAGUAUCAGGAGGAACACCGGUGGCGAAGGCGGGUCUCUGGGCCGAUACUGACGCUGAGACGCGAAAGCGUGGGGAGCGAACAGG
rnacentral:rRNA from 1 species